rnacentral:lncRNA from 1 species
GCAUUUGGGCCCAUCUCUCUUGUCCCCUAUCCUCAGUGGGCUCAGGGGUAGCAGGACUCACCUGCCCAGAAACUGUUGCUCACAGCCAACCAGUUGAGGUGCUGAAGGCCAGCUAGUGCAGCAGAGCCUCCUCAGCUAUGCCAGCCUUCAGAGUCCCAAAAUAAAAGCUGAGCUUGGCCUCCUGAGCUGAGUUAACUUCCCAUCCCAAUCACAUAUUGAUCUCAAGGCUGAGCCAAAGUGGACAGCACCCCCCAGCACUUCCUGCCACCUGACCCUGCUUGGCCUCACUGGCCCCAGCAGGCCCUUCCAGCCUGUUCCUCCUAGCAGUGGUUGUCCCAGGCUACCCCUGCCCAGAGAUGGCAGCUCCCACCAUUGUGCCAUCACUCAGCUUCCCUCUCUCCUGUACCCCUGCACCGUCAGCCUCUUUGCUGGAUUCUUCCCAAGGGAGUUGAACUGGGCCAUAUGCAAAGGUCUUCACCUAUCUCAGCCCAUCCAGCUGCAGCUCUGAUGUCCUGCCACUCUUCCCCUGACUCUUGUCAGCCCAGAGCUAUCUGACCCCUGUCCUGCUCCUUCCCAAGUAGACUGGCUGCCCAAAGGGCCAACUCCUGGCCAUAAACCCAAUGGAAGCUUCUUGGUCCUUCCAGAACAGCACUGCCCCUUGGCUCCUGGGAGUCCCCUGGGAUGCUUCUUCCCCUAUGAGGUCCAUUUUCUCUUGUUGCUUCCUCUCACCUGCAAGGCCUUCUUCCCUUGCUCUCUUUCCUCCAGUUUCUACCCUGGGAGACAAACAGGUUCCUGAGCCUGCAUCUAGCCUCCAAGCAUCUCAGAAUAUUGAUAGCCCAGCCGCAAAGAGCAUGGUGUGUCUGGGCAACAAAGAAUGAAAGCGUUUAGACGCUGCUCAAUGACCCCCACAAGGAAGGUUCGCCCUGAACCUGCUUCAGACAGCAGCUUUGGUUGGAGGCCCCUGGCCUGUGCAGGUCCUUCACUGGGAGGGCCAGGAGGACCUUGCAGGUGGGGCCUGAGGUCUCCCCACGGGUACACGAAGACCUGCAGUCACCAGUGGGGAGGUGCUCUCUACACACCCUGUCCCAUCACCCUGCUCUUCAGCUCUGAGGCCAGUCCUGGGGGAAAUGCCAGAGGUUGCCAGAGAGUUAUGUGAGACCCCAAGGCCUCCAUCCUCCCUUAAAGCAGGCUCCAGCCCCUUGAAGGUCCAUUUCUCAUCAGUGCCCCUUCAGUCUGGAAAGUCAGGGGAUCUGGAAGUGGACACGGACUUUGGGAGAAGCACAGGCCAUUGGCCAUUCCAUGAUUCAACAAGCAUGCUUGUGCCAGGCACCAGCGGGUAGACAGACAUGGUCCCCAGCCUAAUGGAGUAAACCAGGGAGUGCAUCUGUCAAGGUCNNNNNNNNNNNNNNNNNNNNNNNNNNNNNNNNNNNNNNNNNNNNNNNNNNNNNNNNNNNNNNNNNNNNNNNGUGUGUGUGUGUGUGUGUUCUCCAAAGAAACAAAACCAAUAGGAGAUUGAUUUACCAUAAAGAAUCAGCCUACACACUUACGGAGGCUGAGAAGUCUCGUGGUCUCUGCUCUGGGGCCCCAGGAAAGCCUGUGGUGUCGUUCCUAAGACCGGAGAACCAAGGGAGCCAAUGGUGUAAAUCCUAGUCUGAGGUCUGAAGUCCACAGGACAAGCUAUCAGGGUGUCCAGCUAUCAGGCUGCAAACUCGGGCAGGAGCUGGGACUGCAAUCCACAGACUGAAUUUUCUCUUCCUCAGGACAACUUCAGCUUUGUCCUGAAGGCCUUUCAGUGUGGCUGAAGCCACACUAUUCAGGAUAUUCUCUUUUACUUCACAUCAGCUGACAGUAGAUGUUCACCACAUUUCCACAGUACUUUCACAUCAGUAUUUGAUUAAAUAACUGGCCNNNNNNNNNNNNNNNNNNNNNNNNNNNNNNNNAUGAUUGACACAUUAGCAAAGACAAUCACAACAAGUUGCAUUAACAUCUAUAAAGGAAACACAAAAGGGGCAGAGAGUGAGAGACCCCAGUGUGAUGGGGCUGGUGGGGACACUCAGGAAAGAGUGAUUUUACUCUCAGGGAAUGAAAUCUGAGCUGAGAUGAAAGGAUGAGAGGGAACAAGGAUGAGAGGGAAAGAGCUUGGGCAAGAAUGUUCCCAGAAGAGGAAAGAGCACAUACCAAUUUGGGGAG